rnacentral:rRNA from 1 species
GUGCAGCAGGCGCGAAACCUCCACAAUGCGCGAAAGCGUGAUGGGGGAGUCUGAGUGCCAUCUCUACAAGGGGAUGGCUUUUGUCGAGCCUAAAAAGCUCGGCGAAUAAGGGCUGGGUAAGACCGGUGCCAGCCGCCGCGGUAACACCGGCGGCCCGACUGGUGACCACUACUACUGGGCCUAAAAGCGGUCCGUAACCGGACCUGUAAAUCCUUAGUGAAAUCCGCCGGCUCAACCGGCGGGCGUGCUUAGGAGACUGC